AAGAAUCUGUGCAGGUUGUCA
rnacentral:siRNA from 1 species